UUGAACGCUGGCGGCAUGCCUUACACAUGCAAGUCGAACGGUAGAGUAGCAAUACUCGAGAGUGGCGAACGGGUGAGUAAUAUAUCGGAACGUGCCCAGUCGUGGGGGAUAACGUAGAGAAAUUUACGCUAAUACCGCAUACGAUCUAAGGAUGAAAGCGGGGGACUCGCAAGGGCCUCGCGCGAUUGGAGCGGCUGAUAUCAGAUUAGGUUGUUGGUGAGGUAAAAGCUCACCAAGCCGACGAUCUGUAGCUGGUUUGAGAGAACGACCAGCCACACUGGGACUGAGACACGGCCCAGACUCCUACGGGAGGCAGCAGUGGGGAAUUUUGGACAAUGGGCGAAAGCCUGAUCCAGCAAUGCCGCGUGCAGGAAGAAGGCCUUCGGGUUGUAAAGCUCUUUCGGCAGGAACGAAAUGGUCACGGUUAGUAACCGUGACUUCUGACGGUACCUGAAGAAGAAGCACCGGCUAACUACGU
rnacentral:rRNA from 1 species